UACAGAGGCCUCGAGCGUUAGGCGGAAUCACUGGGCUUAAAGCGUGUGUAGGCGGACUUCUAAGUACCUUGUGAAAUCCCACAGCUUAACUGUGGAACUGCUUGGUAUACUGGUUGUCUUGAGGUACCUAGGGGCGAGCGGAACAAGUGGUGGAGCGGUGAAAUGCGUAGAUAUUCGCAAGAACACCAGUGGCGAAGGCGGCUCACUGGCCCGAUACUGACGCUGAGGCACGAAAGCGUGGGGAGCAAACAGG
rnacentral:rRNA from 1 species